GACGAACGCUGGCGGCGUGCCUAAUACAUGCAAGUAGAACGCACAGUUUAUACCGUAGCUUGCUACACCAUAGACUGUGAGUUGCGAACGGGUGAGUAACGCGUAGGUAACCUGCCUGGUAGCGGGGGAUAACUAUUGGAAACGAUAGCUAAUACCGCAUAAUAUUGAUUAUUGCAUGAUAAUUGAUUGAAAGAUGCUAUUGCAUCACUACCAGAUGGACCUGCGUUGUAUUAGCUAGUAGGUGAGGUAACGGCUCACCUAGGCGACGAUACAUAGCCGACCUGAGAGGGUGAGCGGCCACACUGGGACUGAGACACGGCCCAGACUCCUACGGGAGGCAGCAGUAGGGAAUCUUCGGCAAUGGACGAAAGUCUGACCGAGCAACGCCGCGUGAGUGAAGAAGGUUUUCGGAUCGUAAAGCUCUGUUGUAAGAGAAGAACGGGUGUGAGAGUGGAAAGUUCACACUGUGACGGUAUCUGACCAGAAAGGGACGGCUAACUACGUG
rnacentral:rRNA from 1 species